rnacentral:lncRNA from 1 species
CUUCAGUUGGUAUUUUUCUAAAAUCAAAAGUAUUAGAUAAAAUGAUGAAAAUAAAGCCUAACUUAUUUUUUGUAUCAAUGGAUACUCCACAAAUAGAUUUGUGAAAAAAACUAGAUUUUUAUUCUCCAUUGGAUCUAAGUUUAGAAAUUAAAUGUAUUGCUUGAAAGAAGCCUAACCCAUAUUUUUUUAAGGCACCUUCAUGCCAUUGUUUUGCAAUUGCUACCACAAAAAUCAACAAAGUAUGUAUCAUGAGAACCAAAUAUAAAUGGAAAUAUUAAAGGGUUACAAAUAUACUAUUUGCAGAAAACUGAAGUCUCAGUACAAGUUUUUGCCUUUGUUUGUUGUAAGAACAGACAAAUUUAUGAAAACCCAAUUUUCAUGAAUCACUGGACUUACAGUUAUCAACUUCAAUGCAUUUAAAUGUAGAUCUGACUUCAAUUAUCAAACAAAAAAAGUACCUGCAACCUUUCUGUGAAAAUGUCAGUGAAUUAUGAAUACUAAAGAUAUAUGUGUGAAAGUUAAGCAAUCCUUUAAGUGUUUUGUAUGGUGUAAAUGGCAAACUGUGUGUGUGGUAGUGUUUUAUAUUGUGCAUUGGUUGUGUGUGAUUGUUUUAUACUGAAGAGUGUAUAUAAUUGUGUGUAUAUAGUGUAUAUAUAUUAUGUAGACAUGGUACAUGCAUUAUCAAUGCUUAAAUGAUGUUAGUUUAUUUCUACUGUUAUUUUUUCUUAAAAACAUGGAUUUGCCAAACAUGUCCCCCUGCCCCCCCCUAAAAUUGCUUCAAAUUUAAUUAAGGACCCUUUAUAAAAAUGUUUUGUGAUACUUUGUGAAGAACUAUUUUAUUGUUCCUUUUAUUCAAGAUUGCAAUGCAAACUUUGGAAAUAAUAUUUGAUUAUUAGAGAAAUUGCUGAUAAUUCUGAGAAACAUAAGCCGGCAUAUUAGCAGAUGAAACCACUUUCUCUAUUUGAUAUCUUUUGGAGAAAAUAUGUCAUGUUCAAAUAAUUGAAAAUUUUUAUAAAAGCUUCUAUUAACAAAGAAUUUUCAUGUAAAGACAGACCAUUAAUAAGAAAUACUUUUGACUUAAGUUACUAAAUGCAUUGUUUUGAUGGAAGUAAUUCUAGAAAUUUUUUUUUUAUGCUUUAAUGAGGAUUUUAAGAUAUUCAAAAACACGACUUUGAAUAUUUUAGUAUACUUUUGAAGGAACAUGAGUUAAAGAGAAAAACAACUAGACAAUAAAAAUCUGAAUAUAUUUAACUCAUUUAAUUGAAGAAAUUAAAACAUGAACAAAAAAUAUUUUGAGAAGAAACAACAGUAGAAUGUGUUUGAUUCAGUAUUACAUAUUUGACAAUGAAAAAGACGACUUUAUUGUCAUAUCUGGCUUUGUGCUUUAAAAGUAUAAUUUAUUAUCAUUAUUGAAAUGAACAUGUAACUGAUUUUGUGUUAUAUUUUGUUUGUUGUUUCUUUUUUCAAAUUGCUGAUUUGUUUUUUGAGUUGUUUGUUUUGUUUUAGACUAGCUUUAAUUACUGCUGUUAUAUUUUAUGAUUCAGUCCUGCUGAAUAUUUUUUUUAUAAUUCAAACAUUUGAAAUCAGAAACUUAAAAAGAAAAAAGCUUGAAUUUCUUAAAUGAGAAGGGUUUGACAUCACUCUAGGCAGUUGACUCUCUGUGAAUCAACUGAACAUUUCCAAAGCAUUGCAAAAUUCAAGCAUCUUUUUCAUGUAGAUUAAAAUUUUCAUAGCAGAUGAUAUUCGUUAUAUUUUUACUAUUUGAUCACUUGUUUUGGUUUCAUUUUCUAAAAUAGAAUAAAUCAUUGUCAAAACUUUACUUCAAUAUAGAUUUUUGAACAUUUUUAAUGAUAUUGUUUUGUUUUCCUGAAAAUAAAAAGUCAGAAAACUAAAUUAAAAAUAUAUUGUGUACCCAAAAUUUUUCUUACUCUGAAUAUAAGAUAAUUAUUUUAGCUUAUAUUUUUUUUCAAUAUCUAAUUCAUAAUAUGCAAAUUAAAAUACCCCAUUAGUUGAAGAGUAGAUUUGUUUUGGUUUUUGUUGUAGUUUGCAACAGAGUUACCUCAUGGCAAAUGUAUGUGGAAUGAAGUAAAAAAGAUGUAUCUUUGAAAAACUGAUAUGAAAAUGUAAAUAAAUUGUCCAGUCUCUCUGCUUCAGGGAAUUUUUAAUUUGAUGAAGAUCAUGAUUAUAAGGAUGUUGUAGUACAAUAUUUCUGUGGAGAUUUUAAUGACAAUACAUUAUAUGUUUGAAAUUUGUUAUUGUGUGAAUGAUUAAAAAGUCAGCAAUGUGAAAAAAACUAUGAAAUAAAUGAAAUGAACA